rnacentral:rRNA from 1 species
UACGAAGGUGGCGAGCGUUACUCGGAAUUACUAGGCGUAAAGCGUAUGUAGGUGGUUGGAUAAGUCUAUGGUGAAAUUUCCUGGCUCAACUGGGAAGGGUACAUAGAUACUGUCCGGCUUGAGUGUUGCAGGGGGAGACGGAAUUCCUGGUGUAGCGGUGAAAUGCGUAGAUAUCAGGAAGAACACCGAUGGCGAAAGCAGUCUCCUGGGCAAAUACUGACACUGAGGUACGAAAGCUAGGGUAGCAAAC